UCACCUACAACACUCCAAUACAUGGCGAC
rnacentral:piRNA from 1 species